rnacentral:rRNA from 1 species
CCUACGGGUGGCAGCAGUCGGGAAUAUUGCUCAAUGGGGGAAACCCUGAAGCAGCGACGCCGCGUGGAGGAUGAAGGUUUUCGGAUUGUAAACUCCUUUUGUUAGAGAAGAAAAUGACGGUAUCUAACGAAUAAGCACCGGCUAACUCCGUGCCAGCAGCCGCGGUAAUACGGAGGGUGCAAGCGUUACUCGGAAUCACUGGGCGUAAAGAGCGCGUAGGCGGGAUAGCAAGUCAGAUGUGAAAUCCUAUGGCUUAACCAUAGAACUGCAUUUGAAACUGUUAUUCUAGAGUAUGGGAGAGGUAGGUGGAAUUCUUGGUGUAGGGGUAAAAUGCGUAGAGAUCAAGAGGAAUACUCAUGGCGAAGGCGACCUGCUAGACCAUAACUGACGCUGAUGCUCGAAAGCGUGGGGAGCAAACAGGAUUAGAUACCCUAGUAGUC